rnacentral:rRNA from 1 species
UACGGAGGGUGCAAGCGUUAAUCGGAAUUACUGGGCGUAAAGGGCGCGUAGGCGGUUAUUUAAGUCAGAUGUGAAAGACCUGGGCUCAACCUGGGAACUGCAUUUGAUACUGGAUAACUAGAGUGCAGAAGAGGGAGGUGGAAUUUCCUGUGUAGCGGUGAAAUGCGUAGAUAUAGGAAGGAACAUCAGUGGCGAAGGCGGCCUCCUGGACUGACACUGACGCUGAGGUGCGAAAGCGCGGGUAGCAAACAGG